GGCGGACGUAGCCAAGUGGAUCAAGGCAGUGGAUUGUGAAUC
rnacentral:tRNA from 1 species